rnacentral:misc_RNA from 1 species
GAGAAAUCUCGCGUCUUAUGAAACUGAGGCCAAAAAUGGGAAGCUUCAAGAUAAUGAUUUUCUUGCAUUUGUUGCCCCUUUGUGAUUGUUGAUUAUCAGCUCAGCCAUGGAAAGACCUUAGGAGAUGUCGGCAGCCGAGCUGUGAGGACUUCAACUCCAGUUUCUGUUACCAAGAGGGUGUGUUCAAACUGAGCACUUCGUUUCCCAUCAGCAGUAACAGCAGUCCACCCAUCAGGCCACAUCCGAU